GUUCUGAUGGUCUAAAUGGUUAGAGCGUCCGCCUCGGAUGCGGGAGGUCGCGGGUUCAAACCCCUGCCGAGUAAUA